AGCUCUAGUGGUAGCAAUUUUAUUGGGCCUAAGCGUCCGUAGCCGGUUUAAUAAGUCUCUGGUGAAAUCCUGUAGCUUAACUGUGGGAAUGCUGGAGAUACUAUUAGACUUGAGACCGGGAGAGGUUAGAGGUACUCCCAGGGUAGAGGUGAAAUUCUGUAAUCCUGGGAGGACCGCCUGUUGCGAAGGCGUCUAACUGGAACGGUUCUGACGGUGAGGGACGAAAGUUAGGGGCGCGAACCGGAUUAGAUACCCGGGUAGUCCUAACUGUAAACGAUGCGGACUUGGUGUUGGGAUGGCUUUGAGCUGUUUCAGUGCCGAAGGGAAGCUGUUAAGUCCGCCGCCUGGGAAGUACGGUCGCAAGACUGAAACUUAAAGGAAUUGACGGGGGAGCACCACAACGCGUGGAGCCUGCGGUUUAAUUGGAUUCAACGCCGGACAUCUCACCAGAGGCGACAGCUGUAUGAUAGCCAGGUUGAUGACUUUGCUUGACUAGCUGAGGGGAGGUGCAUGG
rnacentral:rRNA from 1 species